rnacentral:rRNA from 1 species
UACGUAGGUGGCGAGCGUUGUCCGGAAUUAUUGGGCGUAAAGCGUGCGUAGGCGGCUUUUUAAGUCUGUCGUGAAAGCCCACAGCUUAACUGUGGAGGGUCGAUGGAAACUGGAGAGCUUGAAUCUAGAAGAGGUAAGUGGAAUUCCAUGUGUAGCGGUAAAAUGCUUAGAUAUAUGGAGGAACACCAGUAGCGAAGGCGGCUUACUGGUCUAGAAUUGACGCUGAGGCACGAAAGCGUGGGUAGCAAACAGG